rnacentral:rRNA from 1 species
GACAGAGGUGCCAAGCGUUAGGCGGAAUCACUGGGCUUAAAGCGUGUGUAGGCGGGUCGUUAAGUGUCUUGUGAAACCCCCCGGCUCAACCGGGGAAUGGCUGGGCGUACUGGCGAUCUUGAGCAGUCUAGGGGCAGAUGGAACAGACGGUGGAGCGGUGAAAUGCGUAGAUAUCGUCUGGAACGCCAAAGGUGAAAACAGUCUGCUGGGGACUUGCUGACGCUGAGACACGAAAGCCAGGGGAGCGAACGGG